UACGUAGGGGGCAAGCGUUGUCCGGAUUUAUUGGGCGUAAAGAGCGUGUAGGCGGCCGUACAGGUCAGCUGUGAAAACUCGAGGCUCAACCUCGAGACGUCGGUUGAAACCGUACGGCUAGAGUCCGGAAGAGGAGAGUGGAAUUCCCCGGUGUAGCGGUGAAAUGCGCAGAUAUCGGGAAGAACACCCGUGGCGAAGGCGGCUCUCUGGGACGGUACUGACGCUGAGACGCGAAAGCGUGGGGAGCGAACAGG
rnacentral:rRNA from 1 species